GUCACUUUGGCGGAGUGGUUAACGCGCUGCCCUGCUAAUUAACAGUUAGCACGCUAGGCAGUUCCCUCGGGAGCGUAGGUUCGAAUCCUACAGGUGACG